rnacentral:lncRNA from 1 species
UUUUUUUUUUAAAGACUUAUUUAUUUAUUUAUAUGAGUACACUGUAGCUGUCUUCAGACACACCAGAAAAGGGCAUUGGAUCCCCAUUACAGAUGUUGUAAACCACCAUGAGGUUGCUGGGAAUUGAACUCAGGACCUCUGGAAGAGCAGUUGGUGCUCUUAACUGUUGAGCUAUCUCUCCAGCCCACAAAGCAGGCUUUAAGGUAUUUCUCUUUUAAAGCUUUUAGAGAGAUUCAUGACCAGAAUCAACAACAACCAAAAAUAUCUCAGUAAAUUUACAGACACUGCAUACCUAUCACAGCCAUGAGGUAUUUAUGAUAGGUGGAGGGAAGGAGACCAGGAAUCAAAGGUGGGGGUCUAGGUGCACCUUCAGUAGCAUCUGUAGCCACUGGGGAUGAGUUGACACUCACUAGUCACUGGACAGUGUCUUUAAAUUCACUACAUUAAACUGAUAGCCCAAAAGUUUCGGGGUUUGUUUGGUUUUUUGUUUUGUUUUUUUUAAAGAAUUUUCUGUGCCAAGGACUACAAAGGGAGUAAGAUAGGUCCUUAAAUAUUUUGAAAGUUCAGAACCAAGAUAUAUGGACUCAUACAUAGUUGGUAUUGAUGAAGCUGAUGUCUAUGGCAGGGGCUAAGAUGGUGUCUUACUCUAAGCCCAGGUUGGCCCCAAACUCUCAGUCAUCCUGUGUCUGCCUCCAGAUUGCUGGAACCACAGAUGUGCUCCACAAAACCUGGUCUAAACUGAUUUUGAAAGAAAAAAAAAUUGAACAUUUCCUUCAGAUUGUAGUACCCCCUUCCCAGCUACCAAAAAUUUCCACAAACUAAUUCUAUACUUACGGUGUCAUUUGGUGACAUUUACAAAAUGGUAGUUGUAGCUGAACAUGAUAUCCUUGGUAAAUUUUCAAUAUCUUAAGUUAAUACCUAGUUCUGGAUUGCUUUUAGGAAUUAUUUAGUCGAUAAAAAUAAUUAUAAAUUUUAUUUAUUUAUUAAUUUUUGGUUCAUAAGUGUGAUGAUGGGAUAUUCACACAUUAUGGGACAUGUCCCUCCCACAGACCUUGUUACAAUAUUAGCAAUUACAUAUGAGAAAACUAUCUCCAUAAAUAAUCAAAAGUAAAAUGCAUGGAAAUACUUACCAUGCGGUGUGCUUGUUUGGGAGUAGCAUGCUCAAAGGCGUUUAUUCCUCUGAGACAGCGCUAUCUAGCAGUCUCCUACUGCGCGCUCUCAGUCUGAGGGACGGGAAAUAUCAGUGAUUGGGAGUGUGCUCUGAUCUUGCCAAAGACCUGGGUUUAGUUCCCAGCUUGAAUGUUGGGUGACUCAGCUGAUUGUAACUCCAGCUCUUAUGGGACUCCAAUGCCUCUGGUCCCCAACAGUACUAACACUCAUGUGCACAUACCCACUUGCAUGUCCAAUAUGAAAGGCAAUCCAAUUGGCGGGGGACAGUGGUUUUUUAGAUUUCUCAGUUCCACUCACAUUAAUGCACUCAAAUCUUCAAGAACAACAACAACUAGGUUACUUCUAGUCUCCCAGACAGACUCGGGAAAUCCCAAGGACUGAAAGCCGCGUUUGUUCAGAGUCGCGUUGCCCACUAAUGCUUGUUUUUACCCAGACCGCUGUGCAUGUUGAAUGGGUACAACACUGGCAAGCGCUGGCCAGGUCUGGGCCAGCCAAGCUAACACUGCUGACUACAGCUCUGCUCCUGGAAGAGGGCUGUGCUCUCUAUUGCAUGCCACACUGACCCUAUACUUUCUUUCCUUUCCUUUGUCUCCUGCACCAUGCUUGCUGCGUAGCAAAUGGAAUCUCUUGCAGUAAGUUAACUUUCUUUCAUAUUCUUUGUCCACUGAGGCACGGACCCAUGACGAGCCUUAUUUUUACUGUUAACCAUUGUAUCUUUCAGCAUGGUUUCCCUUUUUGGUUUAAUUUUCUUUUCUUUGGUAGAUUGAGACAUGGCAGCUUAUCUGUAGCCUUCUGAACUGUUUUCUCUCCCAAAUAGAAACCUACCUUGCUAUGAAUGCUCAUUGUCUCAACGGAAAAUUUUAAACAACAAAUACCACCAUUUGGCAUUUAGGAAAGUCAAGAGUUUUCAUGGCUAGGUUUCACCCUAAAUUGGGAAGAAAACAUUAUUUUUUAACACUUUUUAAAGUUAAUUCGCAAGAUAGUUACAUUCCAUACCAGAUUUUAAAAGGUUCCCAUUUACAAAGAGAGAGAAAGAGAGAGGGAGAGGGAGAGAGAGAUUAACUUAUCAUAAGGAAUUUUACAUUUAAACCAAAGACCUAGCCAGAUUCAACUUCUUCACUUUAAAGCUAUUUGCCAGUAUUUGGGGAAUGGGGGAAAGAAAAAGGCUAAAUAGAAUUGGUUUUCUCUUAGAAGGAGGGAAGAGUUGGGGGAAGGGGAAAGCUUCAUUCAGCAUAGUCUUAUAUAUGUAUAUAGAUAUAGUUAGCAUCAAUUUUAGUAACUUAAAAAUUAGUAUCAAGUCAAGCAGUGGUAGCACAUGCAUUUAAUCCCAGCACUCUGGAGGCAGAGGCCUGUGGUUCUCUGUGAGUUUGAGGCCAGCCUGGUCUACAGAGUGAGUCCCAGGACAGCCAGAGAUACACAGAGAAACCCUGUCUUGAAAAACAAAAACC